ensembl:lncRNA
AUGACCAUGCAACAUUAUCAAAGGGUAUCAAAUCCACGUUGGACCAACCAGUCGAGCCGUCCACGUUGGACCAACCAGGCGAGCCGUCCACGUUGGACCAACCAGGCGAGCCGUCCACGUUGGACCAACCAGGCGAGCCGUCCACGUUGGACCAACCAGACAAACCGUCCACGUUGGACCAGCCAGAAAAACCGUCCAUGUGGACCAGCCAGACAAACCGUCCACGUUGGACCAACCAACAAACCGUCCACGUUGGACCAACCAGACGAACCGUCCACGUUGGACCAACCAGACGAAACCGUCCACAUUGGACCAACCAGUCGAGCCGUCCACGUUGGACCAACCAUCCACGUUGGACCAACCAGACAAACCGUCCACGUUGGACCAGCCAGACAAACCGUCCACGUUGGACCACCAGACAAGCCGUCCACGUUGGACCAGCCAGGAGAGCCGUCCACGUUGGACCAGCUAGGAGAGCCGUCCACGUUGGACCAGCCAGGAGAGCCGUCCACGUUGGACCAACCAGGAGAGCCGUCCACGUUGGACCAGCCAGGAGAGCCGUCCACGUUGGACCAACCAGGAGAGCCGUCCACGUUGGACCCCCCGGGAGCCGUCCACGUUGGACCAACCAGGAGAGCCGUCCCCGUUGGACCAACCAGACAACCGUCCACGUUGGCCAGCCAGGAGAGCCGUCCCCGUUGGACCAGCCAGACGAACCGUCCACGUUGGACCAGCCAGUCAAAUGUUGUAAGUGUCAAUAGACUGAUAUGUGAAUGAUAUUUACCUUCCAUCUAGAUGGAAAUGAUCUCCCUGUGGAAAAAAAUACAUCUAUUUGAAUGUCUUACUUACAUCAUUUGCAGUCCAUAAAGCCUAUCCAUAUUUUACUUUCAUAAAACCACAAUGCAUCAUUAAUCUAAAUUGAUUAGCCAAAAUCUCACAUCUGGUGCAAAUAUCCUGUCCCUGGCUCUCUGAUAGUCUUCCUCCCUCUCCUCGAUAGAUUUGCUUCUCCUGUCGUCUUUCAGGCGCAUUCGUAUCUGCAAAGCACAUGCACAGCUUAGCAUAGCCAGCAGCUUCCGCACAGCUUAGCCUAGCCGCAGCUUCCGCACAAGCUUAGCCUAGCCAGCAGCUUCCGACACGCUUAGCCUAGCCAGCAGCUUUCCGCCACAGCUUAGCCUAGCCAGCAGCUUCCGCACCGCUUAGCCUAGCCAGCAGCUUCCGCACAGCUUAGCCUAGCCAGCAGCUUCCGCACAGCUUAGCCUAGCCAGCAGCUUCCGCACAGCUUAGCCUAGCCAAGCAGCUUCCGCACAGCUUAGCCUAGCCAGCAGCUUCGCACAGCUUAGCCUAGCCAGCAGCUUCCGCAAGCUUCGCCUCGCCAUCAGCUUCCGCACAGCUUAGCCUAGCCAGCAGCUUCCGCACAGCUUAGCCUAGCCAGCAGCUUCCGCACAGCUUAGCCUAGCCAGCAGCUGGAACAGCAGCACCAGAUUGUCACCCUCUCAAAGACAUAYCGCUGAGGAUGCAUCCCAAAUGGAACACUAUUCCCUAUAUACUUUACUUCUGUUGACCAGGGCCCAUAGGGCACUAUAUAGAGAAUAGGGUGUCAUUUGGGACACAAGGUGACAUUUGAUUGGAACACAGAAACUGCCUACCAUGCCGUCUUCCCGGUCGAAGCUGGCGUUGUCUCUUUUGAGAAUGUAGCGUUUUUGGAAAUCAUCCGUUUUGUCGUCUUUUAUGUGUUCUGAGAAUUUUUGAUCUGGUCUGUGGAAAACAAAUUUACAUUGCUGGAAGUUUAGAGGAGUGGGAAAAACAAACCUACACCAAAUACAUACUUUCUACUUUCAAAGCAAUUUGAUGUAUUUAAGCGUCAUAGAAUGUAAUAAAAUGUAUUAUUGUAGUUUAGUAAUAAUGUAUUUUAAAAUUGACUGGUAUAAACUGAAAAACAUACAUUCUUGUAUUGCUAGUUUUGUUGAUGAUGACAGACUUCCCAGUGGGGUCAACAUUGUGAUCCAUGCCAAAGUAGGCAGCCACUCGAUGUAGCAGCAUUCUAUGGUACGAAGUCAUGGGAGGGAACUUCCUCUUCUGGCUUCUAGGAAACACAAGAGCUGAAUGAGCUUCACUGAAAGGCUAAAAUAAUACAACUAUAGAAUUGAAUUAACUAUAAAUUAAUAAAAAUACAUUUUAUUGAUCGAUUUAAUGUAUUUAUUAAAUAACUUACUCAUUAUUACUGAUAAAAUCCAGAAUGUCCUGCUCCAACUUCAACAGCAUCAUUCUGUCUCUGGGGUUGUUCUUUAGAGUGUUGACCAGGAACUCAUGCAGGUCUAUUCCAGUAGAGUCUGUGUAGUCCUGGCUGGAAUCUAGACACAAGAGGACCAGGUAUUGUGUGUAGAUUGAUGAGGGAAAAAAACAAUUUAAUUCAUUUUAGAAUAAUGUUGUAACGUAACAAAAGUGGGGAAAAGUCCAAGGGGUCUGAAUACUUUCCGAAUGCACUAACUGGGCUUACGUUUACACUGGUCAUAUAUAAUAUAUUCAUAUUCAACGGGUGUUGUGCAUUAGUAAAUAAAGAAAUGGGUUAUUGUGCGCUCUGGCACACGCCGACGUGAGUGCUCUGAAACCGGGAGUAGACAGCCAGAGUGAAUUUACGAACGCACCCAUAGUCUCCUAGGAUACUAUAUUAGAUUUCUCAGAGAGCUCCAUGUUCCGGAAUCAGUUCAUUAGUUCUCUAGACUAAAGCUCACAUGUCUCCAAGGUCCUGUAUUGUAACACACAACCGUGUCUGUCUGUCUGAAGGCAGCGAUGGCCAUUAUAUUUUCUCUCACUAUUUUCAACACAAAGAUAAUCAACCUCUCCGCCAACUCUCCCACACACCUCUUGACAGCAUUUUCCGGGACAUCUUCUCUGGUUUCUCCACCUUCUCUUUCUCCUCCUUGGCAGACAGCUCCUCCUUAUCAAAGGACUGGGAUAUCUGGAUGUGAAUUUCAAGAGUAAAAAAUAAAAGCUACAGUGGUAGCUACUAGCAAUAUCCCCAUGAUUAAGUCUGUAUCCUAAAUGGCAGCCUAGUGAUGGCAGCCUAUUACCUAUGGGCCCUGGUCAAAAGUAGUGCACUACAUACAGUGAGGGGGGAAAGUAUUUAAUCACCUGCUGAUUUUGUACYUUUGCCCACUGACAAAGAAAUGAUCAGUCUAUAAUUUUAAUGGUAGGUUUAUUUGAACAGUGAGAGACAGAAUAACAACAAAACAAUCCAGAAAAACACAUGUCAAAAAUGUUAGAAAAUGAUUUGCAUUUUAAUGAGGGAAAUAAGUAUUUGACCCCUCCGCAAAACAUGACUUAGUACUUGUGGCAAAACCCUUAUUGGAGGUCAGACGUUUCUUGUAGUUGGCCACCAGGUUUGCACUCCUUUAAGAGUGUGCUCCUAAUCUCAGCUCGUUACCUGUAUAAAAGACACCUGGGAGCCAGAAAUCUUUCUGAUUGAGUGGGGGUCAAAUACUUAUUUCCUUCAUUAAAAUGCAAAUCAAUUUAUAACAUUUUUGACCUGCGUUUUUCUGYAUUGUUUUGUUGUUAUUCUGUCUCUCACUGUUCAAAUAAACCUACCAUUAUAGACUGAUCAUUUCUUAGUCAGUGGGCAAACGUACAAAAUCAGCAGGGGAUCAAAUACUUUCCCCCCUCACUGUAGGGAAUAGGGUGCCAUAUGAGAAGUACACUAAAAUUAAAAUAGACAGAAUUAAUUAGCGCGUCACGUGAAGAAUUUGCAUCUAAUUGUCCUCACAAUCACACACUUGGUUGGAAGUUAAUGAAAACAUAUUUAAGGGUUUUACAUGUUUAGCUUGUGAAAACAAGUACAUGCCGACCGACCUCAUUUAAAAAAAACAUCUCAUUUACUACGAGAGCACCGUUUUCAUUUCAAAUAACAGCUCAGCUAAAACCCUGUGCUGCACAGAGUGAUAAACCUUCCUCCUCRACGUACGAUAAUCACRUCGUCAAUUACAUCACAACGAUUAACAUUGUUUUAUUUCAUCUUUAAACACCUGAAAAUCCUACAUCAUUUUGACAUUACAAUGAUGUGACUAAACAAACACUAACAGUACAUGGACCUACAGAGGAGUGAAUACUGAGAGUCCAAUAUAGAUCUGCUUUAUGUUUGAGGAAGAGAAUACAUCCAAUAGAAAGCCUGUAUCACCUUCCAGACCUUCACAUCCAUCAAUAGAAAGCCUGUCUCAUCUUCCACACAUUCACAUCCAUCAAUAGAAAGCCUGUCUCAUCUUCCACACCUUCACAUCCAUCCAAUAGAAAGACCUCCUCCAAUAGAAAAGCUGUUCCCUUCCACACCUUAACAUUCAAUCAUUUGUUAUUAUGUAACCACAUG